rnacentral:rRNA from 1 species
GACGUAGGGUCCGAGCGUUGUCCGGAGUUACUGGGCGUAAAGGGCGCGUAGGCGGUUUCUUGCGUCCCACGUGAAAGCCCCUGGCUCAACCAGGGAGGGUCGUGGGAAACGGGGGAACUGGAGGCAGCGAGAGGCUGGUGGAAUUCCCGGAGUAGUGGUGAAAUGCGUAGAUAUCGUCUGGAACGCCGAAGGUGAAAACAGCUCGCUGGGGCUGCGCUGACGCUGAGACACGAAAGCCAGGGGAGCGAACGGG